GAACUGCAGACCAGAAUGGAUGGGGAAAGUACAUCUUGUAGCUAGCUGGCACUGCUUAGUCGUGACUUCAUCCUUCCAAUUUGUCUCGUUGACUAGCGACGCCUGGGUUUCAAGGUUGGGGGACAGCAGACAAGGAAAGGACAGUGUUACACUUGCAUUUUGUGAAGUUGUUGCAAGAUUGUAUUUAGGAUGACACUAUCCCGAACAUGAUUGACAACACUGUCAGACUUGACUUCUGAAAUGCAAUUUGCAACCAAAUGUGUUAGCAGGAUUAUGGGGAGAAUAGCUUUAUAAAGGUUGUAACAAGGUGUUUUCAUUUAUUUAAUUCCUAGUGACUGUCUUCGCAAGGGUCAUUGUGAUCUUUAUCAUACAAUGGAGCUGGCCAUCACUACCAAUGUGGAGACCGCAUUAUUGCCUUUUCAUUUACAACGGUCUAAAUUGGAACUGUGCUACCCUAGGCCAAAGUUCGUUAUAUUGACUGUAUUGAUUUGUGGAGUAACUGGAUGUUUGAAUUUAAUAAAGAUAAUUUAAAUGCA